CGGCGGACGGGUGAGUAACACGUGGGUAACCUGCCUGUAAGACUGGGAUAACUCCGGGAAACCGGAGCUAAUACCGGAUAGUUCCUUGAACCGCAUGGUUCAAGGAUGAAAGACGGUUUCGGCUGUCACUUACAGAUGGACCCGCGGCGCAUUAGCUAGUUGGUGAGGUAACGGCUCACCAAGGCGACGAUGCGUAGCCGACCUGAGAGGGUGAUCGGCCACACUGGGACUGAGACACGGCCCAGACUCCUACGGGAGGCAGCAGUAGGGAAUCUUCCGCAAUGGACGAAAGUCUGACGGAGCAACGCCGCGUGAGUGAUGAAGGUUUUCGGAUCGUAAAGCUCUGUUGUUAGGGAAGAACAAGUGCAAGAGUAACUGCUUGCACCUUGACGGUACCUAACCAGAAAGCCACGGCUAACUACGUGCCAGCAGCCGCGGUAAUACGUAGGUGGCAAGCGUUGUCCGGAAUUAUUGGGCGUAAAGGGCUCGCAGGCGGUUUCUUAAGUCUGAUGUGAAAGCCCCCGGCUCA
rnacentral:rRNA from 1 species